rnacentral:rRNA from 1 species
GACGUAGGGUGCGAGCGUUGUCCGGAUUUAUUGGGCGUAAAGAGCUCGUAGGCGGCUCGUCGCGUCGACCGUGAAAACCCGCGGCUUAACUGUGGGCGUGCGGUCGAUACGGGCAUGACUGGAGUUCGGCAGGGGAGACUGGAAUUCCUGGUGUAGCGGUGAAAUGCGCAGAUAUCAGGAGGAACACCGGUGGCGAAGGCGGGUCUCUGGGCCGAUACUGACGCUGAGGAGCGAAAGCGUGGGGAGCGAACAGG